rnacentral:tRNA from 1 species
AUUAGGGUGGCAGAGCUUGGUAAUUGCAAAAGACCUAAAAUCUUUAAUUCGGAGGUUUAAAUCCUCCCCCUAAUA